UACAGAGGGGGCAAGCGUUGUUCGGAAUUACUGGGCGUAAAGGGCGCGUAGGCGGGCCAGCCAGUCUGUGGUGAAAGCCUCCAGCUUAACUGGAGAAGUGCCGUGGAUACUGCUGGCCUCGAGGAGGGUAGGGGCAUCUGGAACGGUCGGUGGAGCGGUGAAAUGCGUUGAUAUCGACCGGAACUCCGGUGGCGAAGGCGAGGUGCUGGGCCCUUUCUGACGCUGAUGCGCGAAAGCCAGGGGAGCAAACGGG
rnacentral:rRNA from 1 species